rnacentral:lncRNA from 1 species
UUAGUUUGGUUUUACAAUUGGUUCACUGGAUUUUCCUAAAGAAAGACAAAUGUUUUCUAAAUAUAUGAAUGCAUCUAUCCUGGGGCGGCCCUCCAAGAUAAGAGGUUUAUAUGAAAUUAUUAUUCAGCUUGUUUACUUUUUAAACCUUAGUCAAGUAGUGUAAAUAAUGUUUCCCUUAUUAAGUUUACAUAGAACUCACCCUAAAUCUGUAACCCCCAUAUGAUGUGGAAGAUUUAUGAUUUGCACCCCAAGUUGUCUC